GGGGGAGGGGAAGGGAGAGAUGGGUCCCCCCACUGACCAAAUGAUUGGCCCUUGAUUCUUUCAGCAAACAGUUACUGAACUACCACUGAGCACAGGGUUCCAUACAGGAAACUGAGGUAAAUAAGACAUGGUCUCUCUGUGUUUAAGGAGUUCACAGUCUAGGGAAACCCACGGCCUAUUAGAGAGAUCUCAGUCACAUACAUGAAUGUCUCUCUCCUUGUCCUACUCCCCUUUCUCUCUCCUUUCUACCUCUCCUCUCCUUCUCCUUGUGGUUUUUCUCUCUCUGGCUGUGUCUGUCUGUCUGUCUGUCUGUUUCUCUAAUCAUUUUUCUCUCUGCCUCUUCUAACAAAAUUCGCCUGGGUGAUCUUUGCCGGGUCCAUUUCUGUCUUUAGUCCUAGUUUUCUUAAAUGAAUGGAAAUGGUUGGAGUGAGACUGAAAGUUUAGAAGUGCUGAGAAAUCCUUCUCCCUGUAGUUUCUCUCUCUCUCUCUGGCUGUGUGUGUGUGUGUGUGUGUGUGUGUGUGUGUGUGUGUCUGUGUGUCUGUCUGUCUGUCUCUGUCUCUGUCUCUCUCAUCAUUUUUCUCUCUCUGCACCUUCUAACAAAAUUCGCCUGGGUGAUCUUUGCCGGGUCAGUUUCCUUCUUUAGUCCUUGAUUUUUUCAACUGAAUGGAAAGGGUUGGAGCAAGACUGGAGGUUUAGAAGUCCUGAGAAAUUAAGGCAUCCUUGUUGGACAGAUGAGGAAACAAGUCUAAAGAGAUUAAGUCCAAGGUCACAGAGCUAGGAAAUGAGACGGAGUGGGGAAACGACCUAGGAUUUGAACCGAAGUCCCGACUCCCAAUCCCUUACAUGAUUCUGUGCCUAUGUACGGUGUAUGCGACGCCUUGAGAAGUUCCAGGUGGAGAGCUUGCUGCUGUUGGAGGUGCUCCGAGAGGAUUUCCCGGCAUGAGAGGACAGGCAUGUCGUCCGAUUGGAGCUUGAAGCUGGAGAAGAGAGUUGUGGGAGACGGUGAUGGGAGACAGCCGGCCCGCUCCCCUCCAUCGCACAGGAGGGAGACGGGCCCAGAAACGGGCAGGGGCUGGCCCCGCUCCCCGGGGCUCCGGAAUCAGAGACUCCCAGCGGCGAUGCGGUCAGAGAUGCACCCUGUCCGGGAGCUCUCAAUGAGGGGCUCAUGGUGGGGGAGAGAGUGACAUCCUGAACAUCUAUCACUUCCUUCAAUUAUUAAAAAAAAAGGGGAUUUUGAAAAGAGGUCCCUAGACUUCCACAGACUCCUGCCUAAGGAGCCCAUGACAAAAAAGGAGAGGAAGAAUCCCUGAUUACUCUUUGUGCCCCAUUUUGCAGAGGAGUGGGAUAAAUAAAUAAAAUAAAUAAGGAGAGAGGAAGGGAGGGAGGGAGGAAAGGAAGGGAGGGAGAGAAGAAGAAAGGAAGGAGGAAAGGAAGGAAGAAAGGAGGGAGGAAGGAGAAGAAGGAAAAAGAAGGGAAUGACUGGGUCAGAGUCACACGCCAACAGGAGAAUAGGAUUUUAAGCUGGCCUGGACCUUAGAGGUCACCAAGGUCGUCAUCCUCAGCUUACAGAGGAGCCUUAGAAGACCCAGAGACUUUUAAGCCAUGAGCUAAGUUCAGAGAGCAGUCGUUAGCUCCAGAAUCCGGUUCUCUCGGUUCGAAUCCAGUGCUAUCUUUCUGGGUCAAGGCAGAGGGUGAAUGGGAGUGGGGAGGCCAGCGGGAACGUGUGUUGGGCAGAGGGAGCCCGGGCUGGAGUUCAGAAGGGGAGGAGAGGCUGGGGGCAACCAUGAGAGGGAGAAUAUGAGGGUCACGGGAGAGAAUCCACUCCCUCAUUUUUGGAAGAGACCGAGUCCUAGAGAGCUCCCUCAGAUCUGACGCAGAUUUCUUGAGAUCACAGAAGACCAGCGCUGGAAAGACCCCUUAGAGAUCAUUGUGUCCAACAUCCCAUAAGAAACGGAGGCUCGGGGGGAGCUUGGAGGGGCCCCCCAUCAUAUCUCAAGUCCGGGGUGGGGCCGGAACACGGACCCAAAGCUUCCAGGGAAGAGAAAGGGGGGAGCCACAACAUAGAAGGGAAGGCAGAAGUCUCCCCCAGAGGAGCCCCUCUACUUACCUCCAGGGGCAACUAGGAUACAGAGGAGCCCAAGGACCAAGAUCAUGGUGGCUAAGGACGGGAGGGCCCGGGAGGAAAGUCAGGACAGAGGGCAUUGGGUCCUUUUAUCCAGGUACCAGGGGCUGGGCAAGCUAGAAAAGCAAACAAGCAGUGGAGCUGAGGCUGGCCACCACCCAGCCUGACUAACCCCUUAGAUUCCAAAAGGAUGCUGAAAAGGCUUUUCUCCAGGCCCCCCUCACUCAAGACAGGGUCUAAGCCAGCCCGAGAUCCACAGGGAGCCGCUGACACAAUUCCCUGCAUAAACUUGGCCACGGCCACUUCUUUCUCUCGUCCUCAGUUUCCAUAAGAUCAUAGAUUCACAGCAGAAAGGGACCUUGGUGGACAUGGAACCUAAUGCCCCUAUUUUACAGGUGAGAUUAAGUGAUAAAAAUACCAUCUCGUAAUUGAGGGAGCAUUUGAACUCGGAUCGUUCUGCAUCAAAGCCCCAUAUCUGUCCGCUAGUUUCUGGGUGACCUGAUUUCUUUGUUUUUUAAAUAAAGAGACCAAUAAUUACAAUUUUUUUUUUUUGAUGGGGA
ensembl:lncRNA